GUUGAACGCUGGCGGCAGGCCUAACACAUGCAAGUCGAGCGGAUGAAGGGGGAUCGAUCCUCGAUUCAGCGGCGGACGGGUGAGUAAUGCCUAGGAAGCUGCCUGGUAGAGGGGGAUAACGUUCGGAAACGGGCGCUAAUACAGCAUCCGUACUGAGGGUGAAACUGGGGGAUCUUCGGACCUCGAGCUACUAGAUGAGCCUAGGUCGGAUUAGCUAGUUGGUGGGGUAAAGGCUUACCAAGGCGACGAUCCGUAACUGGUCUGAGAGGAUGAUCAGGCACACUGGAACUGAGACACGGUCCAGACUCCUACGGGAGGCAGCAGUGGGGAAUAUUGGACAAUGGGCGAAAGCCUGAUCCAGCCAUGCCGCGUGGGUGAAGAAGGUCUUCGGAUGGUAAAGCACUGUAAGUAGGGAGGAAGGGCAGUAUUUUAAUACGUUGCUGUAUUGACGGUACCAACAGAAUAAGCACCGGCUAACUUCGUG
rnacentral:rRNA from 1 species